AUCAAUGGGGAAGAAGACUGCUCAGCCGGCUGUCGGCACCUCCUGGCAAUCAGCCAUUACAUUUAGUGUCAUAAUAGCGGACGUCGUCUGUCCAGUAUGACGUUCGAGCCCACCACCUGCAUUAUGGUCACAAGAUGUGUUUCGUUUCCUACAUAAAACUCUGAGUUCAAGUAAACAACAGCAUACUCAGCCUCCUCGGUCUGCAACAACAAGAAUUCAACAAGAAAUUGAUGAGGCAGUACAGAGGGAGAGAGAACUGAAAGAAGCAAAUGGAAUUCAGACAUCUGAUGAAAAUAUUGUACAUAAGAGAUCUCAAACACCUGAUGCUGUCAACAGUUCCACAGAAGAGAGAGAGAGUGAUCCAAAUAGUUUCUCCUCUUCGAACAAUCUUUCAGAUUCACUA